UCGACCUUACAAGCACUUCUCACUUUGGUCUCACUCAUUGGUCUCACCCACACCAUCUCUAUUCUCAAAUCAGCCAAAAGAGGAGAGGGAGACUGGUUGGGAGAGACUGUGGGAGAGCUUGUAAGAAGUAACAUGGGAGAGUGUUUGCUAUCCAUAAUUGGGGAGAGGGAGUAUCUGCUCUUACCAGGACUAUUCCAAGUCUAUAAGCUGGCCCAGGCGAAGCAGAUCAUAGAGGUGCGAAGCCAAGAAAACGGAGACGGUGCCCACGAAGGGAACAAUGAAGAAAACUAUCAAGCAGAAAGAAGGCAGAACCACCAAAGGAUUGACAAUGACGCUGAAGAAGGGCUAAGAAGCAUCCUAUGGGAUGGGGCUGGAUGCAAAGGUUAUGUGUUCCUUCUACGAGAAGCACAUGCUCUCUUGAAGGUUGCUAUGAAUGGGGCUACAGAAGAGUGGGAUUAUAAUGGAAGGUACCUAGUGGUGGGACUCGAUCUUAAACACGUGCACAAAUUAAUCAAGUCAAAGAAAGGCAUAAAAACUCCACACCUGGCUGCUCUUGUGCAGGUGAACGGACAAGGACACUGGCGCCUUUAUACGCACCUACUAUUUCCAAGACAGGUGUUGGCUCCCGUGAACAGCUGGCAACUAAUUAAGCGGUCUAACAAAUUAUCUGUCAUCUAUCCUGAUGGUUUCUGUGAUCUACAAGGAGCCACGCUAAAUGUGAGAUGUGGGGAUCGAGGAUGGAGAACAACACGUGGACCGGGAUGGUUGGAAUGCUGGGCAAAGGAGAAGCUCACCUGAGCAUUGCUAACCUGUUCGUUACUAAUCUGCUGGGGAGGAGAGAACACCAGGAGUUCAGCACACCAUUAGAUAAUGUCGUAACUUGCUGCUUAAUUAAGGUAUCCCCAUCCCUGCCCAAGUGGCAGGCUAUCAUUUGGCCAUUCCUCUUAGAGACCUGGAUUGCCCUAUUGGCCUGCCUCCUCUUAAGUGGGCCUCUCACCUAUUUCCUCUCACAACUAAGCCCUUCUGGAAGCACCACAACACAUCUAAACUUCGCCACCAGCUGCUUCACCACGUUCGGAAUACACUUCAGACAGUCUAUUCCUUGGAAGGCUGGCCAGGACAGCUUAAGAAUAAGCCUCAGCUUUUUGUGGCUUUAUGGCCUUAUCAUCGGAGUCAUGUACUCCUGCAACCUGACCGCCUUCCUAACAGUGACUAGGCAACCCCCUACCGUGGAUACCUUUGAGGACCUGCAAAAGUCUCAUUUAAGUGUGUUUGGGUUGGGGCCUUACUAUGGCAACUUAAUGAGAGCGUCUGACAGCUCGGUUAUGCAGGACCUCGCUAAACGCUUCGUGUCCCUCAACACUGGGGUGGAAACCUGGAUACUGGAAGGACGAGGUGCUUACAUGUCCAGCAGCAAUGUAGUGAAGUAUGAUGCUGCUAGGCUUAAUGCAGCAUAUGGCCGGCCCGUGGUUACUGUCAUGAAGGAGUGUAUCUGGCCGUACAGUGUCGCCCUCGCUUACCAAAGCAACUCACCCCUGAAGAAUAAGAUGGACAAAAUGAUUGAUAAAAUGUUUGAGAGUGGACUGGUCGAUUAUUGGUUUGAAGACUCACUAAGAAAGGCUACUGCUCAGCAAAAAUCGAGACAUGAAGAAGGAAAGAAAGAAGAAAAGAUGGAAGACGAAAAGGAUGGAGAAAAAGAGUCUCUCACUCUGUCUUUGGAACAUACUCAAGGUGUCUUCUUUGCUCUCGGAGGUGGUUAUCUUGUAGCUUCGAUGGUCUUUCUCCUCGAUAUUACUUUAAUGAAUUUUCUGUAAGUAAUAGCACUAUUGCUGUUGUUGUUUCAACUGUUACUGCUGCUGCUGCUACUACUUCUAUUACUACUACUACUAAUACUAACACUAAUACUAAUACUACUAAUACUACUACUACUACUACUACUGCUGCUGCCAGCAACAACAAUAACAACAACAACAACAAUAACAGCAACUACUAUUACUUCUAGUACAACAACAACAACAACAACAACAACAACAACAACAGCAACAACUAUUACUACUACUACUACUACUACUACUGCUACUACUACUGCUACUACUACUACUACUACUACUACUACUACUACUACUACUACUACUACUAUUACUGUUAUAACAACCGGUAGCACCUUUAAAUCAAGAAAAAAAAAUGCAUUUGUUUUGGAAUAAAGCUUAAUUCCCUCUUUAUAUUUCCAUCUCCAGUUAGUUAAAGAUGUAAGAAGAAAAUGACGACCUUGACUCUUUUGUGGAAAAGCCUAUUUUGGGCGAUACAAGUGAAGCGCUAUAUGAUAGUAAGGUGAUCCAUCUGUGAAAGCCUAGUGUAUACCAUAAACCUACACCUUCACUAUAGUGAGGCGGAAAAGACAACCAAUUGUGUACUUUAUAACUGAAAACUGACAUGCCCUAUAAAAUUUUAUUUUAGACGUAGAUGCAAUCUAUAUCUGAACUUUGGUGACCUUGUUAGAUCAAUGACAUUAAUAUAACAUUAUUUUGGUUGUUGCUUCUGUUAUAUAUCACUAUAUACCAUUAUGAUUUAUUAAAAAGGAUUAAAUCCUAAAAGCUGC